GUCGGAUCUAAGACAUAUGAAGAAUCCAUUCAAGAGCAUUGCGGGCUUUUGGAGCCUGGCACGGAACUCUGCCGCCGGCAUUCAGAGCCCGUCAGCUGUCAGCAUCCCCAAAGGUCUGCACGAUUGAACCAGACAGCGACGGCGCGUGGUUAACCCGGCGGCAGCUCACGCGCAGCGCUUCUCUCGGCGGACACAGGGAGGCAGUGCGGGAAAGCUCGGCUUCCGCAAGCCAGAGGGAGAGCGAAUGCGGCUGCAGGCGUGCGUCCUUCC
rnacentral:lncRNA from 1 species